rnacentral:rRNA from 1 species
GACAGAGGUGCCAAGCGUUAGGCGGAAUCACUGGGCUUAAAGCGUGUGUAGGCGGAAUGGUAAGUACCUUGUGAAAUCCCACGGCUCAACCGUGGAACUGCUGGGUAUACUGCUUUCUUGAGCCACUUAGGGGCUGUCGGAACAAACGGUGGAGCGGUGAAAUGCGUAGAUAUCGUUUGGAACGCCAAUGGUGAAACAGACAGCUGGGAGUGUGCUGACGCUGAGACACGAAAGCCAGGGGAGCGAACGGG